GCACGAAGUUAGCCGGAGCUUCUUCUGCGGGUACCGUCAUUAUCGUCCCCGCCGAAAGAGUUUUACAACCCUAGGGCCUUCAUCACUCACGCGGCAUGGCUGGAUCAGGGUUUCCCCCAUUGUCCAAGAUUCCCCACUGCUGCCUCCCGUAGGAGUCUGGGCCGUGUCUCAGUCCCAGUGUGGCUGGUCGUUCUCUCAAACCAGCUAUGGAUCGUCGCCUUGGUAGGCUUUUACCCCACCAACUAGCUAAUCCAACGCGGGCCGCUCCUUCGGCGAUAAAUCUUUCCCCGUUAGGGCUCAUCCGGUAUUAGCUCAAGUUUCCCUGAGUUAUUCCGAACCAAAGGGCACGUUCCCACGUGUUACUCACCCGUGCGCCGCUCUGUAUUGCUACAGCGCUCGACUUGCAUGUGUUAGGCCUGCCGCCAGCGUUCGUU
rnacentral:rRNA from 1 species